rnacentral:rRNA from 1 species
UGGGGAAUAUUGCACAAUGGGCGCAAGCCUGAUGCAGCCAUGCCGCGUGUAUGAAGAAGGCCUUCGGGCUGUAAAGUACUUUCAGCGGGGAGGAAGGGAGUAAAGUUAAUACCUUUGCUCAUUGACGUUACCCGCAGAAGAAGCACCGGCUAACCCCGUGCCAGCAGCCGCGGUAAUACGGAGGGUGCAAGCGUUAAUCGGAAUUACUGGGCGUAAAGCGCACGCAGGCGGUUUGUUAAGUCAGAUGUGAAAUCCCCGGGCUCAACCUGGGAACUGCAUCUGAUACUGACAAGCUUGAGUCUCGUAGAGGGGGGUAGAAUUCCAGGUGUAGCGGUGAAAUACGUGGAGAUCUGGAGGAAUACCGGUGGCGAAGGCGGCCCCCUGGACGAAGACUGACGCUCAGGUGCGAAAGCGUGGGGAGCAAACAGG